GCGCAGGCGCAGCGGCGGUUCCUCUAUAUAAGGGUCGCGCCUGCCCGGGCUCGCGCUGUCAUCGGGAGGAUGUCGCGAUACGGGCGAUACGAGACCAAGGUGUACGUGGGCAACCUGGGCACGGGCGCCGGCAAAGGCGAGCUGGAGAGAGCCUUCAGCUACUAUGGACCGCUGAGAACCGUGUGGAUCGCCAGGAACCCGCCGGGGUUCGCCUUCGUGGAGUUCGAAGACCCCCGGGAUGCCGAAGAUGCUGUGCUUGGCCUCGAUGGGAAGAUAAUAUGCGGCUCCAGGGUCAGAGUGGAAGUAUCCACAGGGAUGCCGCGCCGCUCCCGCUACGACCGACCCCCAGCCCGGCGCCCCUUCGACCCCAACGACAGAUGCUACGAGUGUGGUGAGAAAGGCCACUAUGCCUAUGACUGUCACCGCUAUAGCCGGCGAAGGAGGAGCAGGUACGUGCGGGCCCGGGGCGGCUGCGUUGCUUCGCCAGCUCGCUGUUGUGUAGUUCUUGUUAGCAAAGAACACAAUGUUACACCAGUUUUAACUCUUAACUGUCGUAAGUCAACAGGUGUAUAUCACGAUUUUUUUUUUUUGCUAAUACAUAUAAAAUGUUACUAUUUUAAUAAUCAACCUGGUCAAAACCUUUCAGGUUUCUUCGUUUGAGUCAGUCGCCUUGAUUCAGAAUGUCACGAGCCUUAAGAUUUCAUGCUGAGGCGCCUUGCAAAUCCGACACUUAAGAUCCUCCUAGACCUUGAGGUGAUCAGCAUAAGAGGCCAGAUCCCCUCGAGCCAUCUACACGUAGCUUCACCUUAUUCUUUAAGGGCAGAAAAUUUGAGACGGUGACCGCCGUAACAGUAAAUUUGGCUUUCAAUUGGGGCCCCCCUCCGGUUUAGAAAGAGGAACACCAGAUUGACCACAUUCCCACCUAGAAAAAUCUUCUUGCGUCAAUCAAGCCUCACCCUGGCUCAUUGGGCUGUCAGUUUGAUCGUCGUUAGAUUGAAGAGAACACCUACCUAGAUGCAGCGCUCGCCUAUAGAUACUUCUAGAUCGUCUAGAUCUGCUAGACCUUGGGCCAAAGAGGGUCGACCUGCAAACUUGCAAGGUCCCGCUCUAGAUCCCGCUCGAGGUCCCGAGGGAGAAGGUAUUCCCGGUCACGCAGCCGCAGCCGUGGUAGGAG